CGGUCGGUAGCUUAGUUGGAAGAGCGUGGGAUUGCAGCGGAUACAUUAUAACACAUCCUGAUGUUACUGGUUUGAUCCCGGCCCAAAGGA